UUCAAAUUAAAUCGUAACUUUCAUAUAAUCGCGGGGAUAUGGCCUGCAAGUUUCUACCGGUUUACCGUAAAUAAACUGACUAUGAAAAAGGUAUGGCUUAUG
rnacentral:ncRNA from 1 species